rnacentral:lncRNA from 13 species
UUUUAAAAUAGUGUCACUGUUUUGUGGUGGGUGAUAAUGGUCUUUCUUUUUCAUGUAGUGCUCCCAUAAGGACCUCAGUUUCCAACUGCCUCCCCUUAUCCCUUCAUGCCUGCGGGUGGUGAUGGACAGCCUUGGCCGUUGCAUCAGACCUGGGACACCAUACCAUCCUACGGCUUCCACCUACUCACAUCCUUUGUAAAUGCAGUCAUGUGCUACAUAACAACAUUUCAGUCAAGAGGCUCAAAUAUAUGAUGCUCUGCUCUGAAAAGGAAACUGGGUGGCCGGCGUCUCCACAGCCUGGGAUCCUGCCCCCCACUCCCCCCAUGUCUCCACCGUUGACACAGACUCAGUGUCCAUCACCACGUCCAGCUGAGGAGCUGUGCUGGAUGGCUGCAUGCAGGUUUCCUGCGCUUGUGUGAACCUGCUCUGGGUUUAUCUGUAUUUCCAUCUGACAGUCCAUUUAUAAACCCCAUAUGCCAUGGAUUAUUUUCUGUGUUCUCAUUUCUAACACCUUGAAAAGUGUCAUGAACAAAUAAGUUCGUAAUACAUUUUUCAGGAAGAUGAGGAUGAGGAGGUUUUAUUAACAAUAAAAUUUCUACUUUGCUAUUUUAAAAGGGCA